rnacentral:rRNA from 1 species
GACGAACGCUGGCGGCGUGCUUAACACAUGCAAGUCGAACGGAAAGGCCUGCUUUCCCUUGUGGAUUGCGGGUACUCGAGUGGCGAACGGGUGAGUAACACGUGAGUGAUCUGCCCCCAACUUGGGUAUAAGCCUGGGAAACUGGGUCUAAUUCCCGAUAGGACUGCAGGGUGGUGCCUGUGGUGAAAAACGAUUUUCUAGUGGUUGGGGAUGAGCUCGCGGCCUAUCAGCUUGUUGGUGGGGUAAUGGCCUACCAAGGCGGCGACGGGUAGCCGGCCUGAGAGGGUGGACGGCCACAUUGGGACUGAGAUACGGCCCAGACUCCUACGGGAGGCAGCAGUGGGGAAUAUUGCACAAUGGGCGGAAGCCUGAUGCAGCGACGCCGCGUGGGGGAUGACGGCCUUCGGGUUGUAAACUCCUUUCGACCGCGAGGAAGCCACCUGGUUGGAAGGGUGGUGACGGUAGUGGUAGAAGAAGCACCGGCUAACUACGUG